CUGUUUACACUUGUUUGGGUAGGUCGCCAUAGAUAUUUUGGUAGCCGCAUUAUAUAACCACACUGCUUUUCAUAGCCGUGAUCACAGAGGGACACCGUUGUGAAACUUUUACACAAAUACUUCAUGAUGAAGCAGUUCCUGGUUUGCUGUUUGGUUGUUGCUGUUUUGUUGCUUGGGACAGUUGCAUCGCAGAAUAAUACUAACAGCAACUCGACCACUCCUGCACCCGGAGGGAACAAUGGGACAUCCGCAACGCCACUGACACCAGUUUUGUUCGUGUUGGCAACCCUCCUAGCCAUUCUACAGGCAUACCUUAUCUAAAAAGAUGACAGCAGUAGGAGUGGUGCUAUUCCUUUCCCUUGUCAUCUGGGACCGAUAAUGGACAAAGCUUACAGAAGCACCUCGCUUUCCUUGUGUGUUUUUUCGAGUGAUUGUUUAAAAGCUUAAUAAUAAUUCGAUGGAACAACUCUCUUUACUGCCUUGUAAGAUAUAAGUAGUAAUGCCUUACCUAAUAUGCAUGGACCGUUAUACUCCACUUUUACCCACUUUUGUGAGACGUUUGUUUUACGCUGCUACGUCUUGUUUUUGUUUGCAUUAUUUAAUUAUUUGUUAUCAUAAGUAUAAUUUGUUGUGCAUAACAUGACGAAAACAAGGACUUGUUUUUCUGAAUGUCAACAUUAUAACAAUAAAGUGUUUAUAAAUUU